GUCGAACGGAAAGGCCCUGCUUUUGUGGGGUGCUCGAGUGGCGAACGGGUGAGUAACACGUGAGUAACCUGCCCUUGACUUUGGGAUAACUUCAGGAAACUGGGGCUAAUACCGGAUAGGAGCUCCUGCUGCAUGGUGGGGGUUGGAAAGUUUCGGCGGUUGGGGAUGGACUCGCGGCUUAUCAGCUUGUUGGUGGGGUAGUGGCUUACCAAGGCUUUGACGGGUAGCCGGCCUGAGAGGGUGACCGGCCACAUUGGGACUGAGAUACGGCCCAGACUCCUACGGGAGGCAGCAGUGGGGAAUAUUGCACAAUGGGCGGAAGCCUGAUGCAGCAACGCCGCGUGCGGGAUGACGGCCUUCGGGUUGUAAACCGCUUUCGCCUGUGACGAAGCGUGAGUGACGGUAAUGGGUAAAGAAGCACCGGCUAACUACGUGCCAGCAGCCGCGGUGAUACGUAGGGUGCGAGCGUUGUCCGGAUUUAUUGGGCGUAAAGGGCUCGUAGGUGGUUGAUCGCGUCGGAAGUGUAAUCUUGGGGCUUAACCCUGAGCGUGCUUUCGAUACGGGUUGACUUGAGGAAGGUAGGGGAGAAUGGAAUUCCUGGUGGAGCGGUGGAAUGCGCAGAUAUCAGGAGGAACACCAGUGGCGAAGGCGGUUCUCUGGGCCUUUCCUGACGCUGAGGAGCGAAAGCGUGGGGAGCGAACAGGCUUAGAUACCCUGGUAGUCCACGCUGUAAACGGUGGGUACUAGGUGUGGGGUCCAUUCCACGGGUUCCG
rnacentral:rRNA from 1 species